UAAGAUCAAGUACAUGAACAUGUUCGAUGCCCAGGUGAGAGUAAAUCAAAUUGUAAGUGCCAAAUUUUUGUAUCGAUAGAUGAUCUAAUAAAAAUGCACCUCCAAUAACCUAUUUAAUUUAUUGAAAAAGACCCAGUCACUAGAAGCAACACCACAACCGCCUCCAGCAACAGCAGCCACCGCCACCAGCACCAUCACUAGCAACAAUGAUAGCAGCACGAGCACGAGCACGAGCACAAGUACUGGCACGAGCACUAGCACAAGCUCAAGCACGAACACCAUCAGCAUCUAGCGGCAACAACAAAGUAUAUUUGAUUAGGAUUUUCAAUUUAGGUUUGUUGGAUGGCUUGAUGGGACUUUCUUUGAUUUUCCUUUUUUUUUUAUGACUUGCAUACCUAGAAUAAAAAGUUGUAAAGAGACGAUGAAGAUGGAUUAAGGUUUUUCUCUUGAUUUUAUAAGUUUCUUUGUCCAAUCUAUUGUUUAGGAGUACAUUGAAAAAAUAAUUGGAAAAUGACUUGAGGGGAUAUUUGUUG
rnacentral:lncRNA from 1 species